GAUGAACGCUGGCGGCGUGCCUAAUACAUGCAAGUCGAGCGAACAGACGAGGAGCUUGCUCCUCUGAUGUUAGCGGCGGACGGGUGAGUAACACGUGGAUAACCUACCUAUAAGACUGGGAUAACUUCGGGAAACCGGAGCUAAUACCGGAUAAUAUAUUGAACCGCAUGGUUCAAUAGUGAAAGACGGUUUUGCUGUCACUUAUAGAUGGAUCCGCGCCGCAUUAGCUAGUUGGUAAGGUAACGGCUUACCAAGGCGGCGCUGCGUAGCCGACCUGAGAGGGUGAUCGGCCACACUGGGACUGAGACACGGUCCAGACUCCUACGGGAGGCAGCAGUAGGGAAGCGUCCGCAAUGGGCGAAAGCCUGACGGAGCAACGCCGCGUGAGUGAUGAAGGUCUUCGGAUCGUAAAACUCUGUUAUUAGGGAAGAACAAAUGUGUAAGUAACUAUGCACGUCUUGACGGUACCUAAUCAGAAAGCCACGGCUAACUACGUG
rnacentral:rRNA from 1 species